AACGAACGCUGGCGGCAUGCCUAACACAUGCAAGUCGAACGAGACCUUCGGGUCUAGUGGCGCACGGGUGCGUAACGCGUGGGAACCUGCCCUUAGGUUCGGAAUCACUCCCCGAAAGGGGUGCUCAUACCGGUUAAUGUCUUCGGACCAAAGAUUUCUCGCCUUUGGAUGGGCCCGUGUUGGUUUAGCUAGUUGGUAGGGUAAAAGCCUACCAAGGCGACGAUCCAUAGCUGGUCUGAGAGGAUGAUCAGCCACACUGGGACUGAGACACGGACCAGAAUCGUACGGGAGGCAGCAGUGGGGAAUAUAGGACAAGGGGCGAAAGCCUGAUCCAGCAAUGCCGCGUGAGUGAUGAAGGCCUUAGGGUUGUAAAGCUCUUUUACACGGGAUGAUAAUGACAGUAACGGGAGAAUAAGCACCGGCUAACUACGUG
rnacentral:rRNA from 1 species